rnacentral:rRNA from 1 species
AUUAGGGGCAUUUUCAAAGGAGAGUUAAAAUCAGCUUUUCACCCGGGGGAGGGCUGGUUCCCCAGGCAAAUCCUAGGUCUUGUAGGGUUGAAGAAUUUGUAUGGAGUGUGUCAUUGCAGAUAAUAUGCUGUUAGCAUACUAGAGUGGUAUUUAGCCGGUCCUUCACGAAAUCAUCCCCUUUGGAUAUCAGAAAAAUCCCAUUUAAGGCUAUCCGUAUUACAGGUAGAUUCUUAACACACUCAACGUUGCGCUUCAAUUAUUUAACCUCUGGCUAUAGGAAAUUGUUAGUGGCAGACGGGUGAGUAAUGCGUAGGAAUCUACCUAGUAGUACGGAAUAGCCAUUAGAAAUGGUGGGUAAUACUGUAUAAUCCCCGAGGGGGAAAGAUUUAUCGCUAUUAGAUGAGCCUACGUUAGAUUAGCUAGUUGGUGAGGUAAUGGCUUACCAAGGCUAUGAUCUAUAGCUGGUCUGAGAGGACGAUCAGCCACACUGGAACUGAGAUACGGUCCAGACUCCUACGGGAGGCAGCAGUGGGGAAUAUUGGACAAUGGGCGAAAGCCUGAUCCAGCUAUGCCGCGUGAGUGAAGAAGGCAUCGGGUGUCACUAACGG